rnacentral:rRNA from 1 species
UGGUGCCAGCAGCCGCGGUAAUUCCAGCUCCAAUAGCGUAUAUUAAAGUUGUUGCAGUUAAAAAGCUCGUAGUUGAAUUUCGGGAUUAGUACGUCGGUCGUGCCUUAGGUACGUACUGGUGUUACUGGUUCCUACCUUCUGACGAACCAUCAUGUCAUUAAUUUGGUGUGGUGGGGAAUCAGGACUGUUACUUUGAAAAAAUUAGAGUGUUUAAAGCAGGCUCGCGCUUGAAUACAUUAGCAUGGAAUAAUGAAAUAGGACGUUGAUCCUAUUUUGUUGGUUUCUAGGAUUGACGUAAUGAUUAAUAGGGAUAGUUGGGGGCAUUAGUAUUCAAUUGCCAGAGGUGAAAUUCUUGGAUUUAUUGAAGACUAACUACUGCGAAAGCAUUUGCCAAGGAUGUUUUCAUUAAUCAAGAACGAAAGUUAGGGGAUCGAAGACGAUCAGAUACCGUCGUAGUCUUAACCAUAAACUAUGCCGACUAGGGA